CCUACGGGAGGCAGCAGUGGGGAAUUUUGGACAAUGGGCGCAAGCCUGAUCCAGCCAUGCCGCGUGCAGGAUGAAGGCCUUCGGGUUGUAAACUGCUUUUGUACGGAACGAAAAGGUCUUUUUUAAUAAAGAGGGCCCAUGACGGUACCGUAAGAAUAAGCACCGGCUAACUACGUGCCAGCAGCCGCGGUAAUACGUAGGGUGCAAGCGUUAAUCGGAAUUACUGGGCGUAAAGCGUGCGCAGGCGGUAAUGUAAGACAGAUGUGAAAUCCCCGGGCUCAACCUGGGAACUGCAUUUGUGACUGCAUUGCUGGAGUGCGGCAGAGGGGGAUGGAAUUCCGCGUGUAGCAGUGAAAUGCGUAGAUAUGCGGAGGAACACCGAUGGCGAAGGCAAUCCCCUGGGCCUGCACUGACGCUCAUGCACGAAAGCGUGGGGAGCAAACAGGAUUAGAUACCCUGGUAGUCCACGCCCUAAACGAUGUCAACUGGUUGUUGGGGUCUUCAUUGUACUCAGUAACGAAGACUAACGCGUGAGUUAGACCGCCGUGGGAGGACGGCCGCGAGGUAGAACGUACGAAAGUAGAGUUAGACGGCGUGAGACGUUAGCCGACGGACGACGACGGAGGGGAGGUAGG
rnacentral:rRNA from 1 species